AAAACACCAACAAAUACCCGGUCAGAACGUCCAGAGCACCAUUGUGACGUCUUCAGUUUGCGUGUUUUUCAUCAUUGUGAUCGCAAGUGCUGCUGUAUACGUGGGAAUCACUUGCAGGAAUAGACAUCAGAUGAGAAGAACAUUUAUUGCAACAUCAAGGAGGAGCAUUUAACAGCUGUCAAUUCAGAGCAAGAUCUAGAUCUAUAGAUACUUUUGAAUGGCAAAUGCAACAAACAAAACAACAAAAAGCACAAGCUCGCACACGUCGUGCAGUUCUUAUGCGGGUGACCCAUUUCACUUGUUAACCCACCACAAACAUUUUCUGCCACUUCUCCAUCUAUUAAAGGAGUAAAUCACCGCUGACAAGAUGGGCUUUUAAUAAAAGCGGGCUGUCUAUGCAAUAAAAAAACGGUAAAAAAAAAAAAAAAAACGGUGCUACAUAACUA